ensembl:lncRNA
CUCCUCCCGGCAUUGUCCCGCGGCCGCCGUCGGGCUCUUAAGCCCGGCCGCCCUGGGGCACGGCCGCAGCAGCUCUUCCGCGGCCCUCGCCCUGCUGUAAAGCUGGACACUGGAACCCUUCAUCCUCAUGUUUGCAUGGUCUUGAGAGGGGCGUGGAUAAAAGCACGCAUCCUCUUCAGAACCUACAGUGAUUUUGUCCAAUGAUGUUGGAGCAACAUUGGCACAACCCACCACAUGGUGCUGGCUGGAAGGAGCCGUGCAGGAGCACUGUGAAGAGACUUUCCAGGAAUGUUUCUGCAUGGAAAGCCAACACGUCUGCCUUGCAGGACUGAGGGAAGGAGGAGGGAUGGUGACUUGAUCGGUGAAGUCAGUGUGAGACUUCCCAUUGAUUCCAGCGGGUGCUGACCUCUAUGGGCUGAGACAGCAGCCUCAGCAUUGAGCUUGAACCUCACACAAUGGGACCCUUAUCCACAGUGAGGCCACAAAAUGCUGUUGCAUCCUAAAUAAAUUCACAUGAAACCAUCACACGGCAGUUUUCUUUGUGUGGGAACUUAAGGAGCUGGGAGAAGAAGGAUGGGGCAUGGGGAAGAUGCUCACAUAGCGUGUUUAAGAAGGACAGAUAAGGUGGAUAGAAGCAGA